rnacentral:rRNA from 1 species
AUGCGCGACGGCGUGCCUAUUGAAGAAUGAACCGGCGAGUUACUGUUGCCAGCGAGGUUAAGCGGGAAACGCGGAGCCGAAGCGAAAGCGAGUCUGAACAGGGCGAUAAGUUGGCAGCAGUAGACCCGAAACCACAGUGAUCUACCCAUGUCCAGGUUGAAGCACAGGUAAAAAUGUGUGGAGGACUGAACCAGUGAGCGUUGAAAAGCUUUUGGAUGAGAUGUGGGUAGGGGUGAAAUGCCAAUCGAACGUGGAGAUAGCUGGUUCUCCCCGAAAUAGCUUUAGGGCUAGCCUCAUGGUA